rnacentral:rRNA from 1 species
AGGGGGGUUUGAAUCAUGGCUCAGGAUGAACGCUAGCGGCAGGCUUAAUACAUGCAAGUCGAGGGGCAGCAGGGCUGUAGCAAUACAGUCGCUGGCGACCGGCAAACGGGUGCGGAACACGUACACAACUUACCCAAAACUGGUGAAUAGCCCUCCGAAAGGAGGAUUAAUACACCGUAACAUAUAGAGAAGGCAUCUUUUUUAUAUUAUAGCUCCGGCGGUUUUGGAUGGGUGUGCGGCUGAUUAGGUAGUUGGCGGAGUAAUAGCCCACCAAGCCUACGAUCAGUAACUGGUGUGAGAGCACGACCAGUCACACGGGCACUGAGACACGGGCCCGACUCCUACGGGAGGCAGCAGUAAGGAAUAUUGGUCAAUGGACGCAAGUCUGAACCAGCCAUGCCGCGUGGAGGAUGAAGGUCCUCUGGAUUGUAAACUUCUUUUAUUUGGGAAGAAAUCCUUGCAUUCUUGCGAGGUUGACGGUACCAGAUGAAUAAGCACCGACUAACUCCGUGCCAGCAGCCGCGGUAAUACGGAGGGUGCAAGCGUUAUCCGGAUUCACUGGGUUUNAAGGGUGCGUAGGUGGGUCUGUAAGUCCGUGGUGAAAUCUCCAAGCUUAACUUGGAAACUGCCAUGGAUACUAUAGGUCUUGAAUACCGUGGAGGUGAGCGGAAUAUGUCAUGUAGCGGUGAANUGCUUAGAUAUGACAUAGAACACCCAAUUGCGAAGGCAGCUCACUACCCG